rnacentral:rRNA from 1 species
GAUGAACGCUGGCGGCGUGCUUAACACAUGCAAGUCGAACGGUGAAGCAGGAGCUUGCUCUUGUGGAUCAGUGGCGAACGGGUGAGUAACACGUGAGCAACCUGCCCCUGACUCUGGGAUAAGCGCUGGAAACGGCGUCUAAUACUGGAUAUGUGAUGUGACCGCAUGGUCUGCAUCUGGAAAGAAUUCCGGUUGGGGAUGGGCUCGCGUCCUAUCAGCUUGUUGGUGAGGUUAUGGCGCUCCAAGGCGUCGACGGGUAGCCGGCCUGAGAGGGUGACCGGCCACACUGGGACUGAGACACGGCCCAGACUCCUACGGGAGGCAGCAGUGGGGAAUAUUGCACAAUGGGCGGAAGCCUGAUGCAGCAACGCCGCGUGAGGGAUGACGGCCUUCGGGUUGUAAACCUCUUUUAGCAGGGAAGAAGCGAAAGUGACGGUACCUGCAGAAAAAGCACCGGCUAACUACGUGCCAGCCGCCGCGGUAA